GGGGCUGAUUAUGGAUUCGACGAAUUUUAUAAGACCUAAAGUGCAUGUCGGGGUGCGGUAGGUCCUCGUUAAAAAACCGCAAUUAAAUAGUCGCAAAUAACGACAGGAAAUAUGCUUUAGCAGCUUAAAAACUGUUUUUUUAAAGCCCUUUUUUUCAAAGAUUUUUUGCUCUAAAGAUUUGAAAUAAAAAAGGUCACAUCAAAAAGAGCACCAUGUGAAUAUUGCCUAAGAUAAACACAUGUGAUCAAUUUAGGCUAGUUUGUUGUAGAUCUGUUUUAUCUUUUAUAACAGACAAAAAUUUUAAGAUUAAACUAAACAUGUAGUACUGAAGGGAAUAGAGAUUUCGGACGCGGGUUCGACUCCCGCCAGCUCCAA
rnacentral:tmRNA from 1 species